AGGGAAUCUUCCGCAAUGGACGCAAGUCUGACGGAGCAACGCCGCGUGAGUGAAGAAGGUUUUCGGAUCGUAAAACUCUGUUGUUAGAGAAGAACAAGUGCUAGAGUAACUGUUAGCGCCUUGACGGUAUCUAACCAGAAAGCCACGGCUAACUACGUGCCAGCAGCCGCGGUAAUACGUAGGUGGCAAGCGUUGUCCGGAUUUAUUGGGCGUAAAGCGAGCGCAGGCGGUUCCUUAAGUCUGAUGUGAAAGCCCCCGGCUCAACCGGGGAGGGUCAUUGGAAACUGGGGAACUUGAGUGCAGAAGAGGAGAGUGGAAUUCCAUGUGUAGCGGUGAAAUGCGUAGAUAUAUGGAGGAACACCAGUGGCGAAGGCGACUCUCUGGUCUGGAACUGACGCUGAGGCUCGAAAGCGUGGGUAGCAAACAGGAUUAGAUACCCUGGUAGUCCACGCCGUAAACGAUGAGUGCUAAGUGUUGGAGGGUUUCCGCCCUUCAGUGCUGCAGUUAACGCAUUAAGCACUCCGCCUGGGGAGUACGACCGCAAGGUUG
rnacentral:rRNA from 1 species